GCCUGGGUGGCUCAGUGGUUGAGCGCCUGUUUUCCACUCAGGGUAUGAUCUCGGGAUCUGGGAUCAAGUCCCACAUAGGGCU
rnacentral:tRNA from 1 species